GGCAGCCAGCGCAGGGGCUUCUGCUGAGGGCGCAGGCGGAGCUUGAGGAAACCGCAGAUAAGUUUUUUUCACUUUGAAAGAUAGAGAUUAAUACAACUACUUAAAAAAUAUAGUCAAUAGGUUACUAAGAUAUUGCUUAGCGUUAAGCUUUUAACGUAAUUUUAAUAGCUUAAGAUUUUAAGAGAAAAUAUGAAGACUUAGAAGAGUAGCAUGACGAAGGAAAAGAUAAAAGAUUUCUAAAACAUGACGGAGGUUGAGAUGAAGCUUCUUCAUGGAGUAAAAAAUGUAUUUAAAAGAAAAUUGAGAGAAAGGACUACAGAGCCCUGAAUUAAUACCAAUAGAAGGGCAAUGCUUUUAGAUUAAAAUGAAGGUGACUUAAACAGCUUAAAGUUUACUUUAAAAGUUGUAGGUGAUUAAAAUAAUUUGAAGGCGAUCUUUUAAAAAGAGAUUAAACCGAAGGUGAUUAAAAGACCUUGAAAUCCAUGACGCAGGGAGAAUUGCGUCAUUUAAAGCCUAGUUAACGCAUUUAAACGCAGACGAAAAUGGAAAGAUUAGUUGGGAGUGGUAGGAUGAAACGAUUUGGAGAAGAUAGAAGUUUGAAGUGGAAAACUGGAAGACAGAAGUACAGGAAGGCGGAGAAAAGAAUAGAGAAGAUAGGGAAAUUAGAAGAUAAAAACAUACUUUUAGAAGAAAAAAGAUAAAUUUAAACCUGAAAAGUAGGAAGCAGAAGAAAAAAGACAAGCUAGGAAACAAAAAACUAAGGGCAAAAUGUACAAACUUAGAAGAAAAUUGGAAGAUAGAAACAAGAUAGAAAAUGAAAAUAUUGUCAAGAGUUUCAGAUAGAAAAUGAAAAACAAGCUAAGACAAGUAUUGGAGAAGUAUAGAAGAUAGAAAAAUAUAAAGCCAAAAAUUGGAUAAAAUAGCACUGAAAAAGUGAGGAAAUUAUUGGUAACCAAUUUAUUUUAAAAGCCCAUCAAUUUAAUUUCUGGUGGUGCAGAAGUUAGAAGGUAAAGCUUGAGAAGAUGAGGGUGUUUACGUAGACCAGAACCAAUUUAGAAGAAUACUUGAAGCUAGAAGGGGAAGUUGGUUAAAAAUCACAUCAAAAAAGGACUGGUGUAAUUUAAAAAAAAACUAAGGCAGAAGGCUUUUGGAAGAGUUAGAAGAAUUUGGAAGGCCUUAAAUAUAGUAGCUUAGUUUGAAAAAUGUGAAGGACUUUCGUAACGGAAGUAAUUCAAGAUCAAGAGUAAUUACCAACUUAAUGUUUUUGCAUUGGACUUUGAGUUAAGAUUAUUUUUUAAAUCCUGAGGACUAGCAUUAAUUGACAGCUGACCCAGGUGCUACACAGAAGUGGAUUCAGUGAAUCUAGGAAGACAGCAGCAGACAGGAUUCCGGGAACCAGUGUUUGAUGAAGCUAGGACUGAGGAGCAAGCGAGCAAGCAGCAGUUCGUGGUGAAGAUAGGAAAAGAGUCCAGGAGCCAGUGCGAUUUGGUGAAGGAAGCUAGGAAGAAGGAAGGAGCGCUAACGAUUUGGUGGUGAAGCUAGGAAAAAGGAUUCCAGAAAGGAGCGAGUGCGAUUUGGUGAUGAAGCUAGCAGGCGGCUUGGCUUGGCAACCACACGGAGGAGGCGAGCAGGCGUUGUGCGUAGAUAGAGGAUCCUAGACCAGCAUGCCAGUGUGCCAAGGCCACAGGGAAAACGAGUGGUUGGUAAAAAUCCGUGAGGUCGGCAAUAUGUUGUUUUUCUGGAACUUAUGAGGCAUUUCAUCCUUCAUGAAGCUGUUCAGGAUUUUGAAUUGCAUAUGAGUGCUUGGCUCUUCCUUCUGUUCUCCUAGUGAGUGUAUGAGACCUUGCAGUGAGUUUAUCAGCAUACUCAAAAUUUUUUUCCUGGAAUUUGGAGGGAUGGGAGGAGGGGGUGGGGCUUACUUGUUGUAGCUUUUUUUUUUUUUACAGACUUCACAGAGAAUGCAGUUGUCUUGACUUCAGGUCUGUCUGUUCUGUUGGCAAGUAAAUGCAGUACUGUUCUGAUCCCGCUGCUAUUAGAAUGCAUUGUGAAACGACUGGAGUAUGAUUAAAAGUUGUGUUCCCCAAUGCUUGGAGUAGUGAUUGUUGAAGGAAAAAAUCCAGCUGAGUGAUAAAGGCUGAGUGUUGAGGAAAUUUCUGCAGUUUUAAGCAGUCGUAUUUGUGAUUGAAGCUGAGUACAUUUUGCUGGUGUAUUUUUAGGUAAAAUGCUUUUUGUUCAUUUCUGGUGCUGGGAGGGGACUGAAGCCUUUAGUCUUUUCCAGAUGCAACCUUAAAAUCAGUGACAAGAAACAAAUUCCAAACAAGCAACAGUCUUCAAGAAAUUAAACUGGCAAGUGGAAAUGUUUAAACAGUUCAGUGAUCUUUAGUGCAUUGUUUUUGUGUGGGUUUCUCUCUCCCCUCCCUUGGUCUUAAUUCUUACAUGCAGGAACACUCAGCAGACACACGUAUGCGAAGGGCCAGAGAAGCCAGACCCAGUAAGAAAAAAUAGCCUAUUUACUUUAAAUAAACCAAACAUUCCAUUUUAAAUGUGGGGAUUGGGAACCACUAGUUCUUUCAGAUGGUAUUCUUCAGACUAUAGAAGGAGCUUCCAGUUGAAUUCACCAGUGGACAAAAUGAGGAAAACAGGUGAACAAGCUUUUUCUGUAUUUACAUACAAAGUCAGAUCAGUUAUGGGACAAUAGUAUGA
rnacentral:lncRNA from 1 species